rnacentral:rRNA from 1 species
CCUCUUGUUCGGGAUAACUGCUGGAAACGGCAGCUAAUACCGGAUAAGCUCCCCCAAUUGUAUGGGGAGGAAAGGAGGCCUCUUCGUGAAAGCUUCCGCGAGGGGAUGAGUCCGCGUCCCAUUAGCUAGUUGGUGAGGUAACGGCCCACCAAGGCAACGAUGGGUAGCCGGUCUAAGAGGAUGACCGGCCACACUGGAACUGAAACACGGUCCAGACUCCUACGGGAGGCAGCAGUGGGGAAUAUUGCGCAAUGGACGAAAGUCUGACGCAGCGACGCCGCGUGAGGGAUGAAGGUUUUCGGAUCGUAAACCUCUGUCAGGAGGGAAGAAAGCGCAUGGCGCCAAUCAGCCAUGCGUUGACGGUACCUCCAAAGGAAGCGCCGGCUAACUCCGUGCCAGCAGCCGCGGUAAUACGGAGGGCGCGAGCGUUAAUCGGAAUUACUGGGCGUAAAGCGCGCGUAGGCUGUUGUGUAAGUUGGGGGUGAAAUCCCACGGCUCAACCGUGGAACAGCCCUUGAUACUGCGCGACUUGAAUCCGGGAGAGGGUGGCGGAAUUCCAGGUGUAGGAGUGAAAUCCGUAGAUAUCUGGAGGAACAUCAGUGGCGAAGGCGGCCACCUGGACCGGUAUUGACGCUGAGGCGCGAAAGCGUGGGGAGCAAACAGGAUUAGAUACCCUGGUAGUCCACGCUGUAAACGAUGGAUGCUGGAU